rnacentral:piRNA from 1 species
AUGGCAAAGAGGUAGGGCUAAGAUGG